AUACGUAGGUCCCGAGCGUUAUCCGGAUUUAUUGGGCGUAAAGCGAGCGCAGGCGGUUAGAUAAGUCUGAAGUUAAAGGCUGUGGCUUAACCAUAGUACGCUUUGGAAACUGUUUAACUUGAGUGCAGAAGGGGAGAGUGGAAUUCCAUGUGUAGCGGUGAAAUGCGUAGAUAUAUGGAGGAACACCGGUGGCGAAAGCGGCUCUCUGGUCUGUAACUGACGCUGAGGCUCGAAAGCGUGGGGAGCAAACAGGAUUAGAUACCCUGGUAGUCCACGCCGUAAACGAUGAGUGCUAGGUGUUGGGUCCUUUCCGGGACUCAGUGCCGCAGCUAACGCAUUAAGCACUCCGCCUGGGGAGUACGACCGCAAGGUUGAA
rnacentral:rRNA from 1 species